GCGCGCCUCGGUUCCCGCGGCGUCCUUCCUGGGGUCGGCGCUCGGGGCACUGGCGCCCCUCAGAUUUUACCUGCAGCCUGAGGUGAGGGCAGAGCAUCCGCUGUCACGUUGGUGGGGAAACGUGGGCGUCACUGACUGGGCGACUGCAAAACAGCCCUUUCCCAGGUCGUCGUUGACAUCCGGGUGCGCCUGGGCUCUCAAGCCCCACGGCGGGGGAAGCGGAAGAAGGGGGCGUGGGAGGCUCCCGCGUGUCCCCCCCAGAUGUCGGAGAACCUGGGGGGGGCAGAAGGCGCGACGAGGAACGCUUGGCGAGGGUGACAGGCGAGCCGUCCCCGCCUGAGGAGACCCCGCGUUUGCGUGGUCUGUCAGGUCGCUGACGGCUCCCCUGCAAGCUGCAGGUGCUAAAGUAUCUAUCCACGGCCAGCAACGAACUCAGUCUUUAUGGAGCUUCGCUUCGUGCCGGUUACCGUGCCGCGACCAGAGGGUCCCCACCCGCGUCCGAAAGCAGGGCACGCGGCUUCUGCAGUGGUCACCCCCAGAAAAGAGCUCAUUUGCCUCUGCCAUGCAACUCUACCUUGGAGCCAGCUGACUGUGGCCUGAAACCUCUACAAACUGCGAAAGGAAACCUUUCCUUCUUUAAAUGAACCGAAGCUGUUCGUGCUUGAGGAAUUCAAGGACACAGGAACAGAAAUACCUGAGACCAAAGGUGAGUGUGAUCAUGACCAGAAUCUACUUUUACAUGUGACAUCAGCAGAGAUGCGUACGCACCUCAUGUGAGAGGGCUGGAGACCAAGAAGUAGGACUUCUAGCCUGGAAGAUGGACCGGUUCUGGGGAGUUUGGUUAAUUAGGAAUAUUAAGAAGAACUGUUGGAAUUGCAGAACUGUUAGAAUGAGUGAAACCUCAGUUAGGAUGCCCCAUAUCACUGCUUCAAGACUGGGACCAGGUUGCAGAGGGCCCAUCUCAUGCGACAAACAGCAGGACAGACGGAGCAGUGUUCACGAGGGAAGAUGCCGGAUUCCUCUUCCAGGCCUUCCAGACGCACUGCGCUGCACAACCACAGCAGGUCUCGGGAUCUGAAAAGACAGGCAGGGGUCUGUUCUUUGCUCAUUGUGCAAUCAGGGCCCCAGCAUGCACGCCUGCCUGCAGUAUGGAAUAGUUUUCAGCAAUGCCAACUGACCUGUGUGCACAUCUCCACUUUAAAGAAAUGGUGCUAAGAAUCAGACCCAGGGGCUUGAGGAUCCGAAGCAUGUGCCAUACCACCGAGCUGUGCUCCUAACCCCUCCGUUUUUAUUAUAUGGGAACAUGCCAGGCUCUUCUUCGGCUUUCCUAGCAAGCUAGGUAAAUUUGGAAUUUGGAAAAUAUGUACAGAGUCAGAAAGCAAUUUCAAAGAAAUAAGUUUUUUUUGUUGCUGUU